GAAAGGUACUAUCUACCCUAACUCUUGUAGUUAGACUCUCUAAACGAACUUUAAAACUGGUUGUGUCCUUCAGUAGUCUGUAUGGCCAUUGGAGGCACACCGGUAAUUAUCAAAUACUAAGAAGAUUCAUAGUACAUCCUUGUCUAGCUUUUGGUUGGCAGUGAGCCUACGGUUUCGUCCGUGUCGCUCACAAUUAUCCACACAGUAGGUUUCGUCCGCUGUGGUUGAGUUGCUAGUCCGUUGCUGUUUCGUCAGCCAU
rfam:Bat Hp-betacoronavirus/Zhejiang2013, complete genome.